rnacentral:rRNA from 1 species
CUACGGGGUGCUGCGGUGGGGAAUAUUGCACAAUGGGCGCAAGCCUGAUGCAGCCAUGCCGCGUGUAUGAAGAAGGCCUUCGGGUUGUAAAGUACUUUCAGCGGGGAGGAAGGGAGUAAAGUUAAUACCUUUGCUCAUUGACGUUACCCGCAGAAGAAGCACCGGCUAACUCCGUGCCAGCAGCCGCGGUAAUACGGAGGGUGCAAGCGUUAAUCGGAAUUACUGGGCGUAAAGCGCACGCAGGCGGUUUGUUAAGUCAGAUGUGAAAUCCCCGGGCUCAACCUGGGAACUGCAUCUGAUACUGGCAAGCGUGAGUCUCGUAGAGGGGGGUAGAAUUCCAGGUGUAGCGGUGAAAUGCGUAGAGAUCUGGAGGAAUACCGGUGGCGAAGGCGGCCCCCUGGACGAAGACUGACGCUCAGGUGCGAAAGCGUGGGGAGCAAACAGGAUUAGAUACCCGCGUAGUC